UAUUUGGCAAUUAUCUCUGCAUACAUAUGUUAAGGUGUGUGUUGUCUGGAUAUAUACUUAUGCUUAUGUGUGUGGUUUUGCUCUUGCGUUAUCUAGCUUUGAAUCUCGCUCACACAAUUUUUUUACUGCUUUUCGUUUCAAUGAACAAUUUAUCUUGUAAGCAUCUGCCUUUGAUCACCUACCUUUGCAUGGCACUCUCUCAAGAUGCUUGAGUGCUCAAUUCCCGCUCUGCGUCCGCGCAACAUAGAUCUGAUUUAGUUAACAGACGCAAAAGCUGUUAAAAACAUUGUGAGUGAAAAUUAUGGGAUAAAUACCGUCCGUAUACGUUUUCGGACUUGUACAGAUCGAUUCAAGUUUCAACUAGUAUCAAAAGCACAUAAUAAUAAUCCGUAUAGUUGAUAGCUGGAUGGCCUCCAAAUCCAUGGAUAGACACUUAACAAAAUGUCAUUCUAAAUGUUGACCAAAACGGCAAGUGGUUUGGUGCUGAAAUUAAUAUGUUUAGUGCUCUGUCAAUUUUUUGGGCUUUUCGAGCCGGAUCUGCCAUGAGCAUGGACAACAAAAUAUUCAAUACCCUUGGGUAGCUAGAAGUUCUAUAUAUUAUUGCUUAUUCCAUACCUUGGAUAGACAUUUCAAAAUGAAAAUGGUUGGUGUUCUGUCGAUUUGAAAGACUUACACGGAACCUAAAAGCCACUUCUGCCACGCCCUCGGAGAACAAAUAGUCUCUAAAUUUGGUACCUAGAUGACCUAUAUAUCCUUGGUUAUUCCAUACCAAGGAUAGAGUCCUAGCGAACCUAAAGGACGCGCUAUUGCAAAAUGCGCAAAUAUGGUCUAAAAAUAUUUCUUUUACAGCCGCCCCCACCUAAAGCCUAGUCCCCUGAAUGGCUCCAUGUUGACUGACAUAUCCUUGGUUAUUCCAUACCAUCGGUAUAGUCCUUGGGAACCUAAAGGACCAGAUUCCUGCGAAGUGUGCAUUGAAAUGGUCCACAAAUAUGUAUGCCUUUUCUUUCAGCAGCUGUUGUUUAACAUUCGCUUUUACAGCACUCAUUUUACAUGAGCCGUUACUUAACAGUUCUCAUUUUAAAUGAGUUACAUUUCUGCCCCGUGCGGGUAUGCAAUGAAUAUUUUUAUUCGAAAAGUUUCGUCGGCCUUCUGGGCAUUUCUGUUCGCCUGGUAUUUGAGUGAAAUUUUAGUACAAAUUUGGGACCCAGCCGCCGAUGAGGGCGACCCUUUCGGGUAUGCAACAAAAAAUGUUCGGCUGCUGAAAAAUUUUGUCGACGUUCUGGGCAUUUCUGUUCGCCUGGUAUUUUGGCAGAAUUUGAGAAAUAUCUCGGCAACCAGAGGCCGCCAACGGACGCCCGUUACGGGUAUGCAACAGAUUUUUAGCGAUCGUCGAUUUUUGCAUUUUACACAAUCCUAUAUGCCUUACAAGUAAAAAAACAGGAAU